rnacentral:rRNA from 1 species
UACAGAGGGUGCGAGCGUUAAUCGGAAUUACUGGGCGUAAAGCGCGCGUAGGCGGCUUGUUAAGUCGGAUGUGAAAUCCCUGGGCUCAACCUAGGCAUUGCAUUCGAUACUGGCAAGCUAGAGUAUGGGAGAGGAAGGUAGAAUUCCAGGUGUAGCGGUGAAAUGCGUAGAGAUCUGGAGGAAUACCGAUGGCGAAGGCAGCCUUCUGGCCUAAUACUGACGCUGAGGAACGAAAGCGUGGGGAGCGAACAGG